AUGAAAUCGAUGAUAACUUUAUGACCACAGGUGAAACUAACCCAACACUAAAGAAAUAUAGAUCAAAGCAAAAGUAUCCAGAUUCUAGUAAAUUGGCCAAAUCAUUUACCUCAUCAACCAGUGUAGAAUAACAAUUCAAACAAUACUAAGUGAUGUCUAGAUAACUGCUCCACCCUCCUAUGUGACCCAGACUCAGAACUAUUUCUACAUGACUAUACAAACAUAUGCAUGCUUGUGCAUGGGUGCUGACAUAUCCUCCCUAUUCCAUUUCCUAUUAAAGAUUUAUGCAGCAACUUGUAAAGAUCAUGUGCAAAAUAUAACGCAUCACUACUUUAAUGCAGAUAGAAUGCCCCGCACAUAACAACUUUACCA
rnacentral:misc_RNA from 1 species